rnacentral:rRNA from 1 species
ACGAAGGGGGCUAGCGUUGUUCGGAAUUACUGGGCGUAAAGCGCACGUAGGCGGAUUGUUUAGUUAGGGGUGAAAUCCCAGGGCUCAACCCUGGAACUGCCUCUAAUACUGGCAAUCUCGAGUCCGAGAGAGGUGAGUGGAAUUCCGAGUGUAGAGGUGAAAUUCGUAGAUAUUCGGAGGAACACCAGUGGCGAAGGCGGCUCACUGGCUCGGUACUGACGCUGAGGUGCGAAAGCGUGGGGAGCAAACAGG